rnacentral:rRNA from 1 species
CACGUAGGGGCCAAGCGUUGUCCGGAUUUAUUGGGCGUAAAGAGCUCGUAGGCGGUUCGACAAGUCGGGUGUGAAAACUCCGGGCUCAACCCGGAGACGCCACCCGAUACUGUCGUGACUGGAGUCCGGUAGGGGAGUGGGGAAUUCCUGGUGUAGCGGUGAAAUGCGCAGAUAUCAGGAGGAACACCGGUGGCGAAGGCGGUUCUCUGGGCAUUACCUGACGCUGGAGACGCGAAAGCGUGGGGAGCAAACAGG